rnacentral:rRNA from 1 species
UACGUAGGGGGCAAGCGUUGUCCGGAUUUAUUGGGCGUAAAGAGCGUGUAGGCGGCCAUACAGGUCAGCUGUGAAAACUCGAGGCUCAACCUCGAGACGUCGGUUGAAACCGUAUGGCUAGAGUCCGGAAGAGGAGAGUGGAAUUCCCGGUGUAGCGGUGGAAAUGACGCAGAUAUCGGGAAGAACACCCGUGGCGAAGGCGGCUCUCUGGGACGGUACUGACGCUGAGACGCGAAAAGCG